AGCGAACGUUAGCGGCGGGCCUAACACAUGCAAGUCGAACGCGAAAGGUCUUCGGACUGAUUAGAGUGGCGCACGGGUGAGUAACACGUAGGUAAUCUACCCUUUGGCGGGGGAUAACGUUCCGAAAGGAGCGCUAAUACCGCAUAAGACCACGGAGUCUCCGGACGCUGUGGGAAAAGGUGGCCUCUUCUUGAAAGCUAUCACCGGAGGAUGAGCCUGCGUCCCAUCAGCUAGUUGGUAAGGUAAUGGCUUACCAAGGCAAAGACGGGUAGCUGGUUUGAGAGAAUGAUCAGCCACACUGGCACUGGAACACGGGCCAGACUCCUACGGGAGGCAGCAGUGAGGAAUAUUGGGCAAUGGGCGAAAGCCUGACCCAGCCACGCCGCGUGAGUGAUGAAGGCCCUCGGGUCGUAAAGCUCUGUGGAGAGGGACGAAAAACCUGGGUCUAAUAGGCCCGGACGUUGACGGUACCUCUUUAGCAAGCACCGGCUAACUCUGUG
rnacentral:rRNA from 1 species